rnacentral:rRNA from 1 species
GACGAACGCUGGCGGCGUGCCUAAUACAUGCAAGUAGAACGCUGAGGACUGGUGCUUGCACUGGUCUAAGGAGUUGCGAACGGGUGAGUAACGCGUAGGUAACCUACCUCAUAGCGGGGGAUAACUAUUGGAAACGAUAGCUAAUACCGCAUAACAGUGUUUAACACAUGUUAGAUGCUUGAAAGAUGCAAAUGCAUCACUAGUAGAUGGACCUGCGUUGUAUUAGCUAGUUGGUGGGGUAACGGCCUACCAAGGCGACGAUACAUAGCCGACCUGAGAGGGUGAUCGGCCACACUGGGACUGAGACACGGCCCAG